CUUGCCCUUGUUUUUUAUCAAAAUUAUACAUGCAAGCCUCCACAUGCCAGUGAGAAUGCCCACACACCCCAAACAGACAACUGGAGCAGGUAUCAGGAUACAACACUACUUAGCCAAAGACACCUUGCGCAUGCCACACCCACACGGGCCCUCAGCAGUAAUUAACAUUAAAUAAAUGAGCGAAAGCUCGAUUUAGUUAUGGUAGAUAUGGCCGGUAAAUUUCGUGCCAGCCACCGCGGUUAUACGAAAGACCAAAAACAAGGACCAACGGCGUAAAGCGUGACUAGAGACAUAAACCAUUAAAGGAGUACAGCGGCCAAGUUGUAAAAUACUACUGCACGUUAGAACCACAACACAAAUGCCUUUAAACUACUUCUCCUCACGAAAGCUAAGAAACAAACUGGGAUUAGAUACCCCACUAUGCUUAGCCCUAAACACAGAUAAUACAAACACAAUAUUAUCCGCCAGAGAACUACAAGCGAAAAGCUCGAAACUCUAAGGACUUGGCGGUGCUUCAAAUCAACCUAGAGGAGCCUGUCCUAUAAUCGAUACCCCACGUUUCACCCCACCUCUCCUAGCCAACCAGCCUAUAUACCGCCGUCGCCAGCCUACCCUAUGAAAGAAACAAAGUGGGCAAAAAAGUUUACAACUAGUACGUCAGGUCAAGGUGUAGCACACGGAGAGGAAGAGAUGGGCUACAUUUUAUCAAAGAAAAAACACGAAUAAUGUUUUGAAACACACACUUGAAGGCGGAUUUAGUAGUAAAAUAAACAAGAAUAGUUAUUUUAAACCUGCUCUGAAGCGCGCACACACCGCCCGUCACCCUCAUCACAUGUAACACAACAUAACAU
rnacentral:ncRNA from 1 species